rnacentral:tRNA from 1 species
GCUGAGUAAGGCUAGCGGCGCAGGGUUCAGGCCCCUGUCCCGUAGGGGUUCGUGGGUUCAAAUCCCACCCCCCGCA